CUCUGCUGGAAAAAGAAAAGGAAAAGGUUGAAACAGUGAUGGGCCGGUUUCAGCCCAGCGGCCCAGUUCCAGGGAGGAAAAGCGCCCGCGCCCUGACGGUUUUGCAGAACGACCCCUGCGUUUUUGUCAAACAGCAAACGAGGUCAUUCACUGUUUCUACGUAUCACUGACAGUUUACAAAAACGCCCCUGAUGUUCUAUUUCCUCACCCGACUCAUCCUCGACGGCGUUCAUGCCCCGCCGAGCUCCGGCGAGCACCCACGCCGGUCGAUUGGGGCUACGGCAGGGUUCUCCGAGCGGCGGACAUGAAAUUGGGGUCAACCUGACUAUUUCCCCUAACUUAAUUGCGCUAUUGGUCAACUAUGGAGCUCUGGCCACGGUGGCCGUAAGCAUGGCGGCUAUAUGGUCGUGUUCCCGGCGACCAGAGAGCUCUUAGUUCAAUUCAACGGCUCGGCAAGCAUCGUGGAUGCACGAGAAUGCUUAAACAAGGGAGCAGAGGACACGGAUCGGCGAGGUCGCGGUAUGGGCGAGCAGCAGCACGACGGCGCGAGCACAGGAGUUGGGCGCCGAGCAGCCGAACGCCAUGGGAGAGGGAAAUCCAAGCUGGGAAGGUCCAGGGCGCAGGGAAAGAAGAGCGCCAUGGGAGAACCGAGCGAGCUGGAGAGAGCUGCGGCUAGGAAGAAGAAAGGUGCAGGGACUGGAUAUUUGAAGACCCCACGGGCGGUUACGAGAUGAGAACGCAGAGGAGUUCGCUCGGUGAAGAUAAGAAGAGCCGGGGGAGAGACGGUACGAUGAAAAAUCAACAGAGGCGACGACGGAUGGAGGAUAAGGCUCCUGCGCGUGUAGGAGAUGAGGACAGCACAGGAAAAAUCAAGGCCCACGGCAGCAGGAGGAUAGAGACGAGGGAUUUUCUUUUCAGAUUUUUACAUUUUUCCUCAUUUUUAUAAAUAAAAUUGCAGAUACUUCGAAAUCGGAUAAAUUCAUCUACUUUUGUCCCGGAUCUUUGACUUGGUGAAUACUUCGAAAUCAUAUAAAUUUUAAUCGGUUAUUUAUAUAUGAAGUUUUAGAUCGAGACGCGAACACACCGACCGAACUACACUGAUUUCGGCUUUGGUAUUUUAAUUUACCACUGAUUUCGUCGAAGUUAGACCGAUUAGAAAUUAUUUGAGUCCAGCUCUAAUUACCUUUAUCUGUUUUAAUUGAUUUACUACCAAAUACUCCUGAUUAUUAAUCUCGCGUAUGUUUUCUCUCGGAUGAUGCGCGAUUCGGAUUAUUCUGCUCCAAACAAUUUAGUCGUCGAGUGCGAAUUAAUUUGCCCGGGAUACAAUGCGUAAAAGCACAUCGAGCUUCCGAAUUCGUAUUUGCGCGAGCGAUGAAUUUUAAAUAAUCACCGGACGCACCGAUUUUCAGAACAAAUAUGUUCCGAACAGCACGAAAAUUUAGGAAGAGCCCGGAUAAAUAAAAAUAAAAACGAGGUCACACUCGCGACAAAAGGAACAAAUAUAAUAUUGAAAUCGUGAUAGACGAAGAUGUUUAAAAUUGAACAUUCGUUUUAUCCACUGAUAUCACGUGCUUAAAUCCAUACUCGUUGUCGAGCUGAAUAUAAACACCAGGGGUGUUACAGCCCUCCCCCUUAAAAGAAUCUCGUCCCGAGAUUCGGAGCGAAAGACUUCUAAGAGUAGAGAAGCAUUUAACCCAUGUCCAUAUCAGCAAUAAUAAAGGCAGUUCUAAGCAAAGGCGGGUGUCUCAUGAGGUUGUUUCUCUAGUGGACAUAACAUGUAUCGCCUUAGGCUACUUUAGAAAUGUCCAUCAAUAGAGACGAUAUCUGCCAAAAGAGCACAUAAGGUUCCCUGUGUACAGUUUACUUUUUCUGAUGACACUGUACUAUCUGAGUCUGUUGAGCGAGUGGCAAUUACGCGAUCUUACCCAAACAGAACCAGAUGCAACCUCUUGGGUAAAACACACAGAAAAAGGUUUACCAACAAGUGGUUGCGAUAAGUUCAUAGCGCACGAGACGGGUGUGAAUGUCGAAUAACAUCACAAUAGACCCGUGGCUAGUCAGAAAAUCCAAGUCCAAGAAAAAUGAUAAAGACUCGGAAAAUAUCAACGAAGAGAUCCGUUGAUGUUGACUUCGCAACCAAUCCAGUUUAUCCAGCACUAGUCACGGCUCGACAUGAUCACACAUGCUGGGAAAAGCACACGCGAGGCGAUCGAGGCAUGACUAGAGCGAUAACUAGGUGGUUAUCAAUCGAUUUUAACUUGAUUUUUGUAAGUACUUUCUCAAGAUGGGCUGAACCAAAGUGAGUUUAGACAACUUGAUAAAAUGAUCUCUAAACUCAACCUUUGUUUACAAUGCAGUUACAAGUUAGUAAAACCAACUUGUUGAACUACUUUUGGCACUAGGAAAUUUUGGUCUUGUUACCCAUUGGCAAUCCAAUGGUCGAGAGUUCACCUUUGCUAAUAAGAGAUUAUGCAUUUGGGUAGAAAUCCAUUUGGUCAUGUUGUUUAUCCGUUUCUUCAUGCGAGACGCAUUAUCCACUUGGUUAAGAAAUACAUGGAUUAAUUAAGAGAGCGAAUGAACAAACUCCUGCAUUUCAGCAGUAGGGGAAAUCCAAUCUCUAGUUUGAGAGCUAAUCAGCUGUUUUCCAACACUAAAAAGCUCCAAGGCUUCACCUUUACAACAAAGGAUGCAAAGGGAACAUGUAUGUGUGAGGUCACCAUCAAAGUCAAGGAAAAGAGACCACACAUGGGAAGUGGUAUGCCCUUUUUAUUCAACGGAGAUGAUAGAUGUUGCUUGAUCACUUCGACAAACAACACCGAAAUUGUUUCAAGGGAGGAGUCCACGGAAGAUCACACAUCAGUGUAGUUCCACAAUGGAUCAUGACUAGAGACCUCGAUAUCAGCAUACGCCAAGCAGCAUAACCUUGCGUGUACAUUCACAAGGGGCUCUCAGUUUCGCAGCGGCACCAUAAGUCAUUAAUCAUGACACCAUCACCGAACUGGCACCAAUAAUGAAUCUCACGUAGCAAAAUAGAUUGUGCCAAGAUAACACAUUGAUAUAGUCUCAUAAUGGAUUAUGACUACUAACUGUGAUACCAGCGCGUGCCAAGUAGCGCAACCAUGUGUGUACAUUCACAGGAGGCCCUCGGUUUCGUCGUGGCAUCAUCGGCUUUAGUCAUAACACCAUUACCAGACGUAACCAAUAAGAAAUCUCGCGCCACACCAAUGGAUUGGGCAAGGGUGACAAUAUACAAAGGGAUACUCCACCUGUAAGAAUGAUUACAAAUAGAGAGCCAAAUAGAUCAUGGCCCGAUGAAAUGAAUAAGACAUGGCCAUAACCUAAACUUGAUGAAAGGAGUACGAUGGGAGACUGUUAAUUCAGCCCCAAACAUAUUUCUAUGCCCAUCGCAGAGAUUACAAGGUCAAGGAUUAUUAUCUGAUUAGAUUCGGAGGGAAAACAAUCAUAGGAUUAAGUUGGUAUGCCUUUGAUAGAUAUGAGGAAACCAAAGGCAUCGAACUUAAGAAAAUGAUCGGACAUGUCUUUCCUAGGCUAGGUUGAUGAAACAACAUUGCGAUCUUCAAGAACAGGCAAACUGGAAUAGAGACAUCAGCUUGCACAAAUGAACAAGGGAAUGGUUUUAGAAGGAAACAUGACUCGAGAUUCUUAUUUUAAGCUUAAGUACCCUUUUUGUCCAAUGAAGAAAUUAUCUAAGCAUUUAUUUGUAUAAGUUUGGGUCAAGGAGGGGUAACAGAAAAAUCAACUUUGGGUCAUGGUUCACCAACUAAGAACAUGGCCUAGUUUUGGGUUUAGGCAAACAAGUCACUAACCUUCUAUCGACACAUCAAGCACAAGGGCAAACACAUUUGCACUAAUGGUCAAAUUAAAACAACCGGAGAGCUAUCUAAACAUGUAGCUUGAAGACACCAUAUUAUUUACAAUCAAUGGUUACUGGAAUAAGGAUGAGAGAAGCAUUUUGGGUGUAUAGGUGACAAACAUGAUGCAACAAUCAGGAUGCAUGCUCGUCCUAUACGUCCUCACAAAAUUGUGCCAACAUAAUGUGGCAAUAACGUUCUAUUUCGGUGGCAUACGUACUACUCUCACGGUAUUCUGCUAGUCGUCAACUACACAUACGUUUUCGAGGUUAGUGUACCUGCAGAAAAAUCCAUCACAGCCCAAUUCCCAAUGAUGCAAGUCACACAUGACAGUUUAUCACAGUUUAUACUCCAUAUAUUGCUAUAUGGAGGCCAGCUCAUCAUUAAGCGCUGAGCCACGCAUAGGCGCCGUUGCCACACUUUAACCAUAGGGCAACUCAUUAUGGUAACUUACCUUCUUACCUGAGUGUAGGUGCGUCGUUACAGGUACAUUACAAUUCUCAGUAUUCCCAUGUCUGUAUACCGAUACAUCCAUGGGGUACUGAAUUCCCGGAAAAGUAAUUACUCCACAUCGCAGUCUUCAUAUAUACAUAUGUAAAACAUGUAUAUAAUCGGACGCCACAUUUAAACACUCCCCUAGACCGAUGAUUGUUCGGUCAUGCUCUCACAUCUCACCUUACCUGAGCGUCGAUCCAUUCAAAACUGAAUGGCCUCAAAAAUAACAAUACACAUGUAUGCAAUACCCCCGGUUGUGGGUUAGUGGUUUUUAACUAAGCCACCUGAUAGUCCUUAAUUUAGGGCUUAACAGAGGAUGUCGCUAGCAUUAUAGUUUUUCAAAGUUGUUUUUCAAAACCAAACAAUGUGUUUAGUUGAAAAUAGGUUUUUCAAAACCAAAACUUUUGUUUUGAAAAUAUGUAUGUGACCGUAUAUACUUAAUCCAGCUCCGAUACCAGCUGUGGCAGAACCUCCCAAGUUAUUGGGCCCACAUGCACCUGUCCUUGUCUCAAAGACCUCAGACUGCUAUGCAUGUGCACCAGAUAACUUAACAGGAUCCGUCCGAUUGCCCUAAGGACAUCGGAUAAACCACUUACAACCAGAAUCGCGGGAUUAAGUAACACAAAUCACACACAUCAAUAUUUUGCAGCGGAAAUCUUAUUACCAAAUUUUACAAGUUACAAAAAUUUUAUAUUAUUUUAUCAGAGUGAUUACAAAAGUAUAAGUUUGAAAUAUAUGCUAGCUCAAAUGACCAUCCUCAGUAAGAAGAUAAAGACUGGGUAUACUUAUAUAAGAAGGCCGAGCCCACCGGCACUUAACACCAUCACAGCAGCACAAAGUUAUAUCCUAAAAAACAACAGGGAAUAAAACCCUGAGUAUGGAAUUACUCAGCAAGUCUUACCCGACUAAGGAAAAGAUUCUCAAGGGUAUGCUGGAUAAAUAGGAAUCAAGGAGAGGCUUUAGCAAGAAUCAACUUAGAUACUUUUGCAGAAAUAGCUUACUAAAGUGAAUCCUUACUUUCAAUGUUUUAACGCCAGAUUAAAUAUUAAUAGACUCUGUUUGCAUCUAGUCUAAUUUCACCAUCUCAUCAAUACAACAUCAUUUUUAUUCAUGAGGUUCACAUCCUGACUUAGGUUGUAGGGAAGUGACCAAGUCUUCAUAACCGCGAAGGUACGGCGAUCCGAAUCGAUUAUACUCAGCUGAGGAUCUCCAAUCACACGACAUAUGUAGCACUUAACCCUUGCAUAUGUCAACCCACCACCGGGGUUCUUAAGACCAGAUCAGGUUCACGCAAACCGAGAGCACAGAUACACCACCGUCCAGCCUCUUGCCACGGAGGGUACACGCUACUCUCGCCACCGCUCCACGCCCAUUUCGUGUUAUCUUAUUCUGGCCUUAGUCUGCCCGAGGCAAGGCUUAACCAUGACGAGGCAUGUGACCAGUUAAAGGGUCCUCGAUCAGCACGCCUACAUACACGUUCAAUCCUUAAUCAACCUGGAUAGAACAUCACCUGUUCCUAACCCAAGUCUCAAUUUAAGUAUUUCCAUCCUUAGGAUUGUUUCUGUUCCUUAGGAUGAAAAGAGCAUCACAGGGAACUUUGCAGUAAGAUCCCACCAUUGCUCCAAAUGAAAAUAUUCUUGCAGGUAGAAGCCAUCCUUUCUCGAGCUAGGCUAAGGACAACCUCUAUCCACAAGAUCUAAGCAAGGCUAAGCAUUUUUGUAAAUCAUAUUUUGAUACUUCACAGAAGUAUCUAUAAAGGUAUGGAUAUCAAGGAAAGCAAUGCAUCAAAGGGUUCCAAGCAACUCCUAUGAACCUAAUGCACAUUUCACUAGACUUAAAGUGUGCGAAAAUUAUUUAAAAACACAAGAAAAGGGUUGCAUGCACCGGGGCUUGCCUUCGUUCACAGGUGAAUCAGGCUCAGAUCCACAGAUAUCAAAGUAGAAAUGAUUCCCGGCCUGAGACUCCGAAGGUGGUGGUGGUGUCUCCUCUUCAAUUACUUCGAUUUCCUCUUCACGUUCUAAUCAUAACCAUACAUAGGUAUAAGAAUGGAUGCCAUGGGAUGCUCAUGAGGAUGCAAAGAUAGUAUAAACUUAUUAUUAUGUCUUGAAUACAACUUUCCUUCACGGAGUUCCGGGAACUUAGGGUUUCCGGAGUCGGUAAAGGAGUUCAUAGGGCAGGGGGGGGGUGUUUUGGGGUUUGGUGAUCAAACAAGGUCCAAAUCAAUUCAAACUCUACCCAAGGCUUCUAAAUAUUAUGAGGAACUCAUAUAAAAAUUUUGAGCAUUUUUGAACUUACCAUUUGUUUUCUAAAAAUCCAUAACCAACAUUUUUAACCACUUCAAAUUCCCUAAAAUUUCUUACUUUCCUUAAAAAUCACAAACUUAUUUUUCCUAAAUUCUAGAGAAAAUAACAAACCUAGGAAAAUUAGUUUCACAAUUUUAGCAUUUUUCUACAUUUUUCUACAUAUUUCUAAAGCUCUGCUGGAAAAAGAAAAGGAAAAGGUUGAAACAGUGAUGGGCCGGUUUCAGCCCAGCGGCCCAGUUCCAGGGAGGAAAAGCGCCCGCGCGUGCCCACGCCCUGACGGUUUUGCAGAACGACCCCCGCGUUUUUGUCAAACAGCAAACGAGGUCAUUCACUGUUUCUACGUAUCACUGACAGUUUACAAAAACGCCCCUGAUGUUCUAUUUCCUCACCCGACUCAUCCUUGACGGCGUUCAUGCCCCGCCGAGCUCCGGCGAGCACCCAUGCCGGUCGAUUGGGGCUACGGCAGGGUUCUCCGAGCGGCGGACAUGAAAUUGGGGUCAACCUGACUAUUUCCCCUAACUUAAUUGCGCUAUUGGUCAACUAUGGAGCUCUGGCCACGGUGGCCGUAAGCAUGGCGGCUAUAUGGUCGUGUUCCCGGCGACCAGAGAGCUCUUAGUUCAAUUCAACGGCUCGGCAAGCAUCGUGGAUGCACGAGAAUGCUUAAACAAGGGAGCAGAGGACACGGAUCGGCGAGGUCGCGGUAUGGGCGAGCAGCAGCACGACGGCGCGAGCACAGGAGUUGGGCGCCGAGCAGCCGAACGCCAUGGGAGAGGGAAAUCCAAGCUGGGAAGGUCCAGGGCGCAGGGAAAGAAGAGCGCCAUGGGAGAACCGAGCGAGCUGGAGAGAGCUGCGGCUAGGAAGAAGAAAGGUGCAGGGACUGGAUAUUUGAAGACCCCACGGGCGGUUACGAGAUGAGAACGCAGAGGAGUUCGCUCGGUGAAGAUAAGAAGAGCCGGG
rnacentral:lncRNA from 1 species